rnacentral:rRNA from 1 species
UACGUAGGUGGCAAGCGUUGUCCGGAUUUACUGGGCGUAAAGAGCGCGCAGGCGGUCGAUCAAGUCGCGUGUGAAAGCCCCCGGCUCAACUGGGGAGGGUCAUUCGAUACUGAUCGACUCGAAGGCAGGAGAGGGAAGUGGAAUUCCCGGUGUAGUGGUGAAAUGCGUAGAUAUCGGGAGGAACACCAGUGGCGAAGGCGACUACCUGGCCUGUUUCUUGACGCUGAGGCGCGAAAGCUAGGGGAGCAAACGGG